ACGAAAGUUCUGGAAUAAGGUUUUAACUAUUGCGUAAUUCGAAUCGUUGGAUCGUUAUGGUCUUAGUACGUAGUAGUUGUUAGUGUUAUCAAGGACGUAACACUAAAAGCUUUGUUUUAACGAUUUAGGUCCCAAUUUCAUAAGCGGCUCGUUCUAUUAAGUCAGCGAAAAUUCUCCGCUACAAGACUAGGUGAGCUGGUGCUGCUGCAUGACAUCAAGCAUAUGGGGGCUAGACUGUAGUUUGAAGUUAACUUUUGGUUUGAUCAUUAAUGAAUUUUAUAGAACAUUGUUACAUAGUUUGAGUUUGAAUAAAGAGGGGUCUACUAUGAUUCCCGAGUUGUAUUUACAUUUUCUAUUCCGCUGCAAUUUGGUUUUGAGACAA